rnacentral:rRNA from 1 species
UCGAGCGGAUGACGGGAGCUUGCUCCUUGAUUCAGCGGCGGACGGGUGAGUAAUGCCUAGGAAUCUGCCUGGUAGUGGGGGACAACGUUUCGAAAGGAACGCUAAUACCGCAUACGUCCUACGGGAGAAAGCAGGGGACCUUCGGGCCUUGCGCUAUCAGAUGAGCCUAGGUCGGAUUAGCUAGUUGGUGGGGUAAUGGCUCACCAAGGCGACGAUCCGUAACUGGUCUGAGAGGAUGAUCAGUCACACUGGAACUGAGACACGGUCCAGACUCCUACGGGAGGCAGCAGUGGGGAAUAUUGGACAAUGGGCGAAAGCCUGAUCCAGCCAUGACGCGUGUGUGAAGAAGGUCUUCGGAUUGUAAAGCACUUUAAGUUGGGAGGAAGGGCAGUAAGUUAAUACCUUGCUGUUUUGACGUUACCGACAGAAUAAGCACCGGCUAACUCUGUG